rnacentral:rRNA from 1 species
UACGUAGGGCGCAAGCGUUGUCCGGACUUAUUGGGCGUAAAGAGCUCGUAGGCGGCCUGUUGCGUCCGCUGUGAAAUCCCGGGGCUCAACCCCGGGCCUGCAGUGGAUACGGGCUGGCUAGAGGCAGGCAGGGGAGAACGGAAUUCCUGGUGUAGCGGUGAAAUGCGCAGAUAUCAGGAGGAACACCGGUGGCGAAGGCGGUUCUCUGGGCCUGUACUGACGCUGAGGAGCGAAAGCGUGGGGAGCAAACAGG